GAUGAACGCUGGCGGCGUGCCUAAUACAUGCAAGUCGAGCGAACGGACGAGAAGCUUGCUUCUCUGAUGUUAGCGGCGGACGGGUGAGUAACACGUGGAUAACCUACCUAUAAGACUGGGAUAACUUCGGGAAACCGGAGCUAAUACCGGAUAAUAUUUUGAACCGCAUGGUUCGAAAGUGAAAGACGGUCUUGCUGUCACUUAUAGAUGGAUCCGCGCUGCAUUAGCUAGUUGGUAAGGUAACGGCUUACCAAGGCAACGAUGCAUAGCCGACCUGAGAGGGUGAUCGGCCACACUGGAACUGAGACGCGGUCCAGACUCCUACGGGAGGCAGCAGUAGGGAAUCUUCCGCAAUGGGCGAAAGCCUGACGGAGCAACGCCGCGUGAGUGAUGAAGGUCUUCGGAUCGUAAAACUCUGUUAUUAGGGAAGAACAUAUGUGUAAGUAACUGUGCACAUCUUGACGGUACCUAAUCAGAAAGCCACGGCUAACUACGUG
rnacentral:rRNA from 1 species